rnacentral:rRNA from 1 species
UUCCGGUUGAUCCCGCCGGAGGCCAUUGCUAUCGGAGUCCGAUUUAGCCAUGCUAGUUGCACGGGUUUAGACCCGUGGCGAAAAGCUCAGUAACACGUGGCCAAGCUACCCUGUGGACCGGAAUAACCUCGGGAAACUGAGGAUAAUUCCGGGUAACGCUCCUCCACUGGAAUGUGGGGAGCUGGAAACGUUCAGGCGCCACAGGAUGCGGCUGCGGCCGAUUAGGUAGACGGUGGGGUAACGGCCCACCGUGCCCAUAAUCGGUACGGGUUGUGAGAGCAAGAGCCCGGAGACGGAAUCUGAGACAAGAUUCCGGGCCCUACGGGGCGCAGCAGGCGCGAAACCUUUACACUGCACGACAGUGCGAUAGGGGGACUCCGAGUGCGAGGGCAUAGAGCCCUCGCUUUUCUGUACCGUAAGGUGGUACAGGAAGAAGGGCUGGGCAAGACCGGUGCCAGCCGCCGCGGUAAUACCGGCAGCCCAAGUGAUGGCCGAUAUUAUUGGGCCUAAAGCGUCCGUAGCUGGCCGGACAAGUCCGUUGGGAAAUCCGCACGCUUAACGUGCGGGCGUCCAGCGGAAACUGUCCGGCUUGGGACCGGAAGACCCGAGGGGUACGUCCGGGGUAGGAGUGAAAUCCUGUAAUCUCGGACGGACCACCUGUGGCGAAAGCGCCUCGGGAAGACGGAUCCGACAGUGAGGGACGAAAGCCAGGGUCUCGAACCGGAUUAGAUACCCGGGUAGUCCUGGCCGUAAACGAUGUCCGCUAGGUGUGACGCAGGCUACGAGCCUGCGUUGUGCCGUAGGGAAGCCGUGAAGCGGACCGCCUGGGAAGUACGUCUGCAAGGAUGAAACUUAAAGGAAUUGGCGGGGGAGCACUACAACCGGAGGAGCCUGCGGUUUAAUUGGACUCAACGCCGGG